GAUUGAAAUGUAGGGCCGUAAUUAGUGAGCUCAUAAAAAAAAAAUCUGUACGUUCACACUGGAAAGAGUAUAUUGUUUGCUGGGCGAGGUAAUGAGAUUUUGCCUUUUGAAUUAAGUGGGAAAGAGGGAUAUUUUAGUGGGAAACCGGAAUCGGCGUCUGGCCACACUAUCCGACAGCACAAAUGCGCGUUAUGAGCGAGGCAUCAAAGUAGUGUGGAUUUCUCGCGCUGAGCCGUUUGCCGGGUGCGGACGGAAAAGAGAACGACGGGCUUGUCGGUGAUUCGUGUGUUCUUCAAAAAUCGUAUAAAAAAAGUCGAAGAAGCGAACGAAAGAAGCCGCCGGUUGCGCAUGCUGUCGCAAUGAACAGAGCACUUGGGCUGCUUUUGUUAUGCCGACAUGAGUGAAUGAUAAACGCCGAAGAGUGGAGCCGGAGAUAGCUCAGCUUUUAAAUACUAUCGCGGGCGCAUUUUUUUUGUUUUAUUUAAAAGUGAACGUGAUUACUUUGCCAAAACCGUGGAGACCGUGGAAAUUUUGGCUUAGUAAACAGUGGUGUUCGGAGUGGAUCUUUGGAGCUCGUAGGAAAAACAGGAUCUGCGAAUGCAUUACGGGGUCA